CCUACGGGCGGCAGCAGUGGGGAAUUUUGGACAAUGGGGGCAACCCUGAUCCAGCCAUGCCGCGUGCGGGAAGAAGGCCUUCGGGUUGUAAACCGCUUUUAGUCGGAAAGAAAAGGCGGAGGCUAAUACCCUCCGUUCUUGACGGUACCGGCGGAAUAAGCACCGGCUAACUACGUGCCAGCAGCCGCGGUAAUACGUAGGGUGCGAGCGUUAAUCGGAAUUACUGGGCGUAAAGCGUGCGCAGGCGGUUCGUUGUGUCUGAUGUGAAAGCCCCG
rnacentral:rRNA from 1 species